GGAGGGUAUAGCUCAGUGGUAGAGCGCGUGCUUAGGAAGCAUAAGGCCCUGGGUUCGUAACCCCAGCACCUCCG